UUGAUUAAUUUAUGGGUAAAUGUCCAGUUGACCGUUAUUAGUGACAGUUUUUUUCAUUUUUAUAAUACAAAGUGAAAGGACCUGCUAGAUCGGAGAUUAUGAGCUACAAGAGAAAAUAGCUGCUGAUAUACUUUAUUCUACUCACUGGUGUUUCAAUGGCGAACCAAAGCAGGCUUCGUGCUCUUCUUUGGUGGAGAAGGUGGGCAAAGAAGGACUGGGCAAUCGCAGCCGUCGGAUUCACUCUCACCCUCUUCGCUCUCUCCCUCAUUUCCAUCUCUUGGCGCGACGAUGACUUCAAAAUCACUCACCCAGUCGAUCUCACCUCCGCUUCUGAUUUCGUCGACUUGACCCUGUUGCGCAACGCCAACCAUAGAGGCGCCCUUUGUUUAGAUGGGAGUGUUCCUGGAUAUCAUUUCCAAAAGGGUUUUGGUUCUGGUGCUCACAAUUGGCUUCUUCACAUUGAGGGUGGAGGUUGGUGCAAUACAAUAGCAUCGUGUUCCCUUCGUAAGAAUACGCCAUUAGGCUCUUCUAAAUACAUGGAACGUCAAGUUCGAUUUUCUGGGAUUUUAAGCCGUGACUCAUCAGAAAAUCCUGAUUUCUUUAACUGGAAUAAAGUCAAGAUCCGAUACUGUGAUGGUGCAUCUUUAGCUGGCCGUCCAGAAAGUGAGUUGAAGAAUGGAGAUAAGCUUUUCUUUAGAGGCCAGAUCAUCUGGGAAUCGCUUAUGGAUGAACUCUUAUCAAUUGGCAUGUCUAAAGCGAAACAGGCUCUUCUUUCGGGAUGCUCCGCUGGUGGUUUGGCAACUCUUAUACACUGCGAUGACUUCCGAAAACUUCUACCAAAAAAUGCAACUGUCAAGUGUCUUGCUGAUGCAGGUUUUUUCCUUGAUGAGAUUGAUGUUUUUGGAAAUCACACGAUGAGAUCUUUUUAUCAUGAUGUGGUCCUACUUCAGGGUGUAGCCAAAAGUUUGCCCAAGGAUUGUGUUGCGGGAAUGGAACCAUCAGAGUGUCUCUUUCCUCAACAACUGAUUAAAAACAUACGCACCCCGGUGUUCCUUGUCAAUCCAGCUUAUGAUUUUUGGCAGAUACAACAUGUCCUGGUACCCAAUGCAUUAGAUCCUCAUGGCUACUGGAGAAGCUGCAGACUCAACAUUCAUAAUUGCAAUCCUAGCCAGAUCAAAAUAGUACAAGGAUUCCGUGAUUCUCUACUGAGGGCAUUGAGUGAAUUCCAGAAGAAUAAGAUGGGUGGAAUAUUUAUAAAUUCUUGCUUUAUUCAUUGUCAGACAUGGAUGGCUGAAACAUGGCAUUCACCAAAUUCUCCUAGAAUAAACAAUAAGACAAUUGCAGAAUCUGUAGGAGAUUGGUACUUUGAUCGGAAAGUAGUAAAGCAAAUUGAUUGCCCAUAUCCUUGCAACCCCACCUGCGUUCAUAUGGAUUUCACAUGAGUAUGACGGAACCUGGACCACCCAACUGCAGGUCUCCAUUUUUUGAAUGUAUAAAAAUUCUCUUCUGGUUCAAAGCGUAUCAUAUUCCCUACAUGUCAAAAUUAAGGUUGCUAGCGAGGGCAGUGAAUAUUUUUAGUAGCAGUUGUUUUUAUUCACCAAGGGAUCCUUUUCCUCUCUAGUCUUCCCAGAUGAAUACGAUGAGUAGCAUUCUCUACUGGAAUAUGGUAUGUCAAUUUUCAAGUAAGUACCCUCUCAUUACUCAAUUGAGCCUCUUAUUUGGUCAAAUAUUUUGUUCAAGUUUGCUGGUUCGAACUGGGGUUGCAUCAAAGUGUUAUUUGAUCAAAAACAUUUAUUUCUCUUCAACUAUUAUUUUUUAUUUUUUAUUUUUAAAAAGAAAGAAAGAAUGUAAAUCUAGAUUCUUUCUAAGAAGCUUCAAGGAUGUCAUUGCACAGGUGCUGUUUUGGAAUUUUAAUUUAUGCUUUUAGAAGCUUUUCCAAAUCCCAAUUAUCCCAUGAGAUUAGACAGGCGAAAUUGACAUUGAGCUUGGUGGUAAUGAUCCAAACUUGUUCAUGCAAAAUUCUAGAACAUCUAUUUUGUUUAGCUUGUUUCAAAAAGUAUUGCUGCUUUAGACAUUAGUUUAGGUACAUUUUAUGUAAUCUCAUAGGCACAUCACUUGGUGUAGGUUUCCCAGCUUAAAUCCCACAUCCUCGAGACAGCAUUCAUUGAAAAUUUAUUUAGAAAUAAAAAUGAGAAUUAUAUGUAUAUUUUUUA